GACACUGAUGGUAAUCCCCAUCUAAUGAACAUCCUGCUAACUUGACCUUAGAUUUACCACCAUUCAUACCAGAAGUUUGAAAUCAAUGGAGAGGAGAGUGGCUAUGGAGAAAUAUGCUGAGGAAAACAUGAAGAAAGAAAACAUGACGGCCUUAGUGAAAGAAAUGAUAUUGGCUAUUUCACAGAAGAGGAGGGAAGAAUUCAAGAAGUUUUUCGGGAUUUAGAGUUAGCUAAAAUUUAAGAUGGAUUUUUUGAGAUGUGGCAAUUAUAGACUGGUAGAAUUAAUCUGCUGUGAAAUUGACCAGGAUGUAUUUGACUGCCUUGAUCAACUGUC